UCACGUCUCGUGCUCUCGCGAGAGGAGUAGGCAGGUCACACUUGAACUGAGAACGUCCAAUCCUACCGGAGGCAGCAUUUGGGAAUAUUUGCACAAUUGGCGCAAGGCUUGAUUGCAGGCAUGCGGCUGUAUUGAAGAAGCUUCGGGUUGUAAAGUACUUUCAGCGGGGAGGAAGGCGAUAAGGUUAAUACUGUCGAUUGACGUAACCGCAGAGAAGCACCGGCUACUCCGUGCCAGCAGCCGCGGUAAUACGGAGGGUGCAAGCGUUAUCGGAAUUACUGGGCGUAAAGCGCACGCAGGCGGUCUGUCAAGUCGGAUGUGAAAUCCCCGGGCUCAACCUGGGAACUGCAUUCGAAACUGGCAGGCUGGAGUCUUGUAGAGGGGGGUAGAAUUCCAGGUGUAGCGGUGAAAUGCGUAGAGAUCUGGAGGAAUACCGGUGGCGAAGGCGGCCCCCUGGACAAAGACUGACGCUCAGGUGCGAAAGCGUGGAGAGCAAACAGGAUUAGAUACCCUGGUAGUCCACGCUGUAAACGAUGUCGACUUGGAGGUUGUUCCCUUGAGGAGUGGCUUCCGGAGCUAACGCGUUAAGUCGACCGCCUGGGGAGUACGGCCGCAAGGUUAAAACUCAAAUGAAUUGACGGGGGCCCGCACAAGCGGUGGAGCAUGUGGUUUAAUUCGAUGCAACGCGAAGAACCUUACCUACUCUUGACAUCCACGGAACUUAGCAGAGAUGCUUUGGUGCCUUCGGGAACCGUGAGACAGGUGCUGCAUGGCUGUCGUCAGCUCGUGUUGUGAAAUGUUGGGUUAAGUCCCGCAACGAGCGCAACCCUUAUCCUUUGUUGCCAGCGGUCCGGCCGGGAACUCAAAGGAGACUGCCAGUGAUAAACUGGAGGAAGGUGGGGAUGACGUCAAGUCAUCAUGGCCCUUACGAGUAGGGCUACACACGUGCUACAAUGGCAUAUACAAAGAGAAGCGACCUCGCGAGAGCAAGCGGACCUCAUAAAGUAUGUCGUAGUCCGGAUUGGAGUCUGCAACUCGACUCCAUGAAGUCGGAAUCGCUAGUAAUCGUGGAUCAGAAUGCCACGGUGAAUACGUUCCCGGGCCUUGUACACACCGCCCGUCACACCAUGGGAGUGGGUUGCAAAAGAAGUAGGUAGCUUAACCUUCGGGAGGGCGCUUACCACUUUGUGAUUCAUGACUGGGGUGAAGUCGUAACAAGGUAGCCGGUCAUGUCGAAAG
rnacentral:rRNA from 1 species